CGGGAAGAAACUCUUAAGACAAUGUAAAUAUGCAGUACACACUAAACGAAACUCAACAAGACAGUAUUUUUAACACAUAAAAAUCAACUAAAUGUUAUAUAGUACAUACCAAUAACAAAAACAACAACAACAACAAAAAGCAAGAUGAUAAUUGAAUACCACAAAAAGGGAAGCCCGUUGCACUAAAGCUCCCGCUAUGUGCAGAGACCGGGGAAGGGCCCCACCACAAGGGUGUAUUGUACGCAGCCUUACCUUGCAUUUCUGUCAGAGACUGUUUCCAAGGCUUAAAUACCACAAUUUUACUCAAAUCGGAUAAAUUCUUGAAGCAACUUCUUAAUCAUCUUCUAAGUACCCAAUGAUAGCAAAAAUACCCUACAUUUCUGCAAGAGGUUGUUUUCGCGGGUUUACUACCCCACAUUUCUGCAAGAGGUUGUUUCCGCGGGUUUACUACCCCACAUUUCUGCAAGAGGUUG
rnacentral:lncRNA from 1 species